UGAGGAAUAUUGGUCAAUGGACGGAAGUCUGAACCAGCCAAGUAGCGUGCAGGAUGACGGCCCUAUGGGUUGUAAACUGCUUUUAUGUGGGAAUAAAGUCAGGGACGUGUCCCUGUUUGCAUGUACCACAGGAAUAAGGACCGGCUAAUUCCGUGCCAGCAGCCGCGGUAAUACGGAAGGUCCGGGCGUUAUCCGGAUUUAUUGGGUUUAAAGGGAGCGCAGGCCGGGUAUUAAGCGUGUUGUGAAAUGUAGGCGCCCAACGUCUGCACCGCAGCGCGAACUGGUGCCCUUGAGUACGCACGACGUUGGCGGAAUUCGCCGUGUAGCGGUGAAAUGCUUAGAUAUGGCGAAGAACUCCGAUUGCGAAGGCAGCUGACGGGAGCGCUACUGACGCUCAUGCUCGAAAGCGCGGGUAUCGAACAGGAUUAGAUACCCUGGUAGU
rnacentral:rRNA from 1 species